GACGAACGCUGGCGGCGUGCUUAACACAUGCAAGUCGAACGGAAAGGCCCUGCUUUUGUGGGGUGCUCGAGUGGCGAACGGGUGAGUAACACGUGAGUAACCUGCCCUUGACUUUGGGAUAACUUCAGGAAGCUGGGGCUAAUACCGGAUAGGAGCUCCUGCUGCAUGGUGGGGGUUGGAAAGUUUCGGCGGUUGGGGAUGGACUCGCGGCUUAUCAGCUUGUUGGUGGGGUAGUGGCUUACCAAGGCUUUGACGGGUAGCCGGCCUGAGAGGGUGACCGGCCACAUUGGGACUGAGAUACGGCCCAGACUCCUACGGGAGGCAGCAGUGGGGAAUAUGGCACAAUGGGCGGAAGCCUGAUGCAGCAACGCCGCGUGCGGGAUGACGGCCGUCGGGUUGUAAACCGCUUUCGCCUGUGACGAAGCGUGAGUGACGGUAAUGGGUAAAGAAGCACCGGCUAACUACGUG
rnacentral:rRNA from 1 species